GGGAUGUGGCACGUGAUCGUUUUGGCGCAAAUUUUCACCGUGCACACGCGCUUCUAGCCAUGAGUCACACGUGUUACUUUUCGAAUUCUAUCUUUUAAAAAUUUACACAAUUCUAUUUACGUAGUGAAGAAAAUGUCGGAAUUAUUUAAUUACGUUGGCGAGAUACGUUUCGAAUGUCCGAAACAUAUGCAAGGAUAUUUACUUUCGGAGAAUUUGUACGCUCUUUUCGUCAAUUAUAUUAGAUCUUGCAGAUUCAGAGCUCCGAAGGCUAAACAAUUGACAGAACUUAUCAUGACAUUUCAAGAUGGUGCUAAACGCGAUAGAAGAGCCCUUCAGAGUAAAUUUAAGAGUUGGUCACGCAGAAUGGAUGUCAGAGAAACAGAUGGAAAGCUCGUUAUUCGGCAAAGCGGCAAAGAAAUUUUACCUAUAGAAAAAUGUUAUUCUUUAGUUAUGGAAUUACAUUGUCAAACGGAAGAACAUAGAGACAUUGAUUGUAUCGUACAUGAGAUACGAAAAACUUAUUCUUGGGGUCGAAGAGAUUUUGGUAUGGAUUGGGAUGUGGUCUCAGCUAUACUUAAAACCUGUAAUAAAAUAGAAUGCCAACAAAAACUUCAAAUGAGAUUACAGCCAAAAUGUGUAUCAUCUCCACCUUUAAAAAGAAUGAAGAUUUUAGAUAUUAUUCAAGAAUCUAAUAAUUUUGUCCAAAAUCAAAAUUUUCGUUCAAUUAUGCCAAUACUAAUUACAUCAGAUAACAAAAUUAAUAGUGAAGAUGCAUUUGUACAAGUUACAGGAGUUAAGGAAGAAACUGAAUCAAAACAAUUGUUAACAGCUGUCAGUUCUGCAGUUAUUUCUUCACAAUUAGAAAUAAAUAAAUCUUUAACAAAUAAUUUACAACAUGAAAAAAGAUACAGCUAUAAAUCUAACUCAAAAUCAAAUACAGUCAGUAAAAAAUUAAACAAAAAAAUAAGUUUUAAGAUAGAAAUUGAUUCUUCAGACUCUGAUCUUAAAUGUUCAGAUGAUUUUAAAAAUGAUUUGAAAAAUUUUAUAACUUCUUAUUUUAAAAACCAAACAAAAUCUAAUGAAAAUAAUAUUAAGUCAGAUGUUUUAAAUACAAAUAAACUACUAAUCCAAAAUUACCCAGUUUGGCAGAAUAUAUUAUUGUCGUCAAAUUCUAAAUCACCUUUCAGAAUUUUAACAAGUAAAGAACAAAAUAUUUCAAUAACACCUAUAAAUUCAUCAUCACACAGACAGCAAUCUUUAAAUUCAGGAUAUUUCAUUAAUUCUUCAAUUCAAAAUAUAAGCAAUAAUAAUACAGCCAGUAUCUUAACUUACACACUUCCUGACAUGCCACUCUCUUUUACUCCUAAAAUACAAUGUCUUAUAUCAUCAUCUAAUGCAGAAAUGAAUUCUGAUAGAAAUUCAAAUCAGAAGUCCCUAAAUCAAAAUCAUGACAAUGACGAUUACUCAUCUUGUCAGAUUACACCUGUUAAAAUUCAAAGUAAAACUGUAUCAGUGCCUACUGAGAUUGAUAUAAAUACAUUGAAUGAUGAUGUUCUAAACAAAAAAUCAUUUAAAUUUAAAUAUGUAUUAGAAAAACCUGAAAGAAAACUGGAAAAUAACUUAAAUAUAAAAUCAAGUAAAAACAAUAGCCAAAAACAUUUAAAAUCAAAAAUAAUUAGAUAUUGUAAAACGAAAUCUGUUCUGAAAAAUAAUGUGGAAUCUAAAAAACAAAUGGACAAUGAUAAAAAUGUUGAAGACUUAUAUGAAUCUCUCAUUGAAUCUAUUCAUUCCAUAAAAGGCAAAUCACUACAUAUUGGUACUAGUAGAGGAAAAGACAUAGAGUUUACAAAAGGAAUAGAUCGAUGUUUGAUUCAAAUCAAAGAAUUAAAAAAGAAACUUUAGCAAGCAUCAGAUUUGGCCUGCCAAAAAAUUGUAUCUGCAUCUGUAGAGGACAUUUUGACCAAUUCAGAUGGAUAUUGCAAAAUCUUAGUGGAUAAGGCUUUGUUUACAUGUAUUUCAGUAAAGCAACAUUUAUUUACUUCAGUCCAUUGACAAAAGCAUAGAAAAUUACAGAAUCACUUUAAAAAGUUGACAUCUCUAGUAUUAGUAUUUUGGUGGAGAAUUUGAAAAAGAUCUUUUCUAGCAAGCCAGAUCUCAAAAAUGAAGCAGAAUUUGAAAACUGUUUAUGGAGGAGUUUAAGCUUAUUUUCGAUCCUAGAAUCUAUCCCUAAAAUACUGGUAGAGUUAUAUUACACCAAUACAACAUAUUACAUAAAACUUGAUAACAGAACAAUUAGAAUAUCUAACUAACAAUAACUAUUUU